UCGCGCCUCUGAACCCCGCCCCUCGACAUGCCCCCUCUUUCCCCGCACCCUCCCACUCGGGCCGGACCUCUCCCGGGCUCCCCUUCCUGGCCUCGCGGGCGCAACGCUCGCCGUCGCCUUCCGGUCACCCCUGCCCUUGAGCACCGGCCGCCCCGUGCCGCAGGCCUUGGGCGCUCCGCCGGGGGCGCUCUGCGCGGAGCUGUGGGCGGAGGUUUCUGGCACUUUCUGGGCGCUGCGAACGGUCUAAUUCUGGGCUCGGAGAACGGAAACGUCGGCGACGGAGCCGCGCCGCACCCUCUGCCGCCCUCGUCCCCAGCUCUCCGUGAGGCCGUGCCGCAAGCGCAGAUGGCCGAGUGGGGCCAAGGGGACCUGCGCUGGGUGGAGGAGCGGGAGGACGGGGCCAACGUGAACAACUGGCAGUGGUGCGGCCGGGCUGCGGCUCGGGGUCUCGUCCCUUCGGAGCCGCCGGGAAGGACGGACGGAGCGGGAUGCCGCCAGCUGGUCCAAGGGGAAGUUCUGUGAGUUCCUGGUGGGCAUCGUUGUAGAGAGUGAGGCUGGUCACUGCCAGAUCAGUGAGCUGAAGCAGUUGGAAGGUAUAAUUAAAGAAUCUGGUGCAAAAGCACAAGAGAUUGAUUGAAAUACCUAACUUUUCUGAAGAAAAUGAAGUAGAUGACACUGAGGUGAACAUGAGUAAAAAGAAAGGAGAUGGGGAUAUAUUGAAGGAUCUUAUGAAAGCUGCAAGCACCACCAAGGUCAGGGAUGUCUUUGGAGAUUACCUGAAGGCACUUAAGACAGAAUUUACAGUGGGAAUGAUUUUACCAACAAAAGCUACGGCAACCCAGGAAACUGAAUGAGAGCACCUUGCAGUUAAGAAAUAAAAAGAUCAUCAUGAAAUGGAGAUAUAGGAACUGGCCAGAAGAACACUAUGCAACAGUUGCACUGCAUUUUGUGCCUACUCUUGGACAAACAGAAUUACAAUUGGAUUGUAAAGGAAUUCCUGUCUGUAAAGAAGAGAACAUGAAAUUCUGUUGGCAGAAGCAGCAUUUUGAAGAAAUAAAAGGUUUACUUACUGCAGCUGACCACCUUAAGUGGUCGAAUGAGUUAAGAUUUUAUAAGGACAUUACUUUUUGUAGAGUUCACUUCUUAUUUAAAAAAAAAUUAUAAUGGAUGAAAUCCUUGAACUUUUAUAGAACUUAA